ACGCUCGACACCUACGGGAGGCAGCAGUCGGGAAUAUUGCGCAAAUGGGAACGGAAACUCUGACGCAGUGACGCCGCGUGCAGGUAAGAAGGUUUCGGAUUGUAAACUGCUUUAGACAGGGAAGAAAAAGGACAGUACCUGUAGAAUAAGCUCCGGCUAACUACGUGCCGGCAGCCGCGGUAAUCUGAGCGGGCUGGCAAGGC
rnacentral:rRNA from 1 species